rnacentral:RNase_P_RNA from 1 species
CCAGAGGGUCGGGCGAUCGCCGCCGGUGGGAUAUCCUGCCGGGGGAGGAAAGUCCGGGCUCCAUGGAAACCACGGUGCCGGAUAACGUCCGGCGGGUCCGCUUUCGGGCGGGCUUAGGGAAAGUGCCACAGAGAAGAGACCGCCCACGGCUUCGGUCCGGCGAAAGGUGAAAGGGUGCGGUAAGAGCGCACCGCGCGGACGGUAACGGACGCGGCACGGCAAACCCCACCGGGAGCAAGGUCGAAUAGGGAUGGCAAGAGGAAACUCAGGGUUGGUUCCGGCCCCGCCGUCCGGGUUGACUGCUUGAGCGUUCGGGCAACCGUUCGCCUAGAGGAAUGAUCGCCCAUCCCCCGUCAAAAGGGGUGGACAGAACCCGGCUUACAGACCCUCUGGCACG